rnacentral:rRNA from 1 species
UACGAGGGGGGCAAGUGUUGUUCGGAAUCACUGGGCGUAAAGGGAGCGUAGGCGGGCGCUUAAGUGGGAUGUUUAAAACCGGGGCCCAACCCCGGAGCGGCAUUCCAAACUGGGCGUCUUGAAUAGGGGAGAGGUCGAUGGAAUUGGAGGUGUAGCGGUGGAAUGCGUAGAGAUCUCCAAGAACACCGAUUGCGAAGGCAGUCGACUGGACCCAUAUUGACGCUGAGGCACGAAGGCCAGGGGAGCAAACGGG